GACGAACGCUGGCGGCGUGCCUAAUACAUGCAAGUAGAACGCUGAAGAGAGGAGCUUACUCUUCUUGGAUGAGUUGCGAACGGGUGAGUAACGCGUAGGUAACCUGCCUUGUAGCGGGGGAUAACUAUUGGAAACGAUAGCUAAUACCGCAUAACAAUGGAUGACACAUGUCUUUUAUUUGAAAGGGGCAAUUGCUCCACUACAAGAUGGACCUGCGUUGUAUUAGCUAGUAGGUGAGGUAAUGGCUCACCUAGGCGACGAUACAUAGCCGACCUGAGAGGGUGAUCGGCCACACUGGGAGUGAGACACGGCCCAGACUCCUACGGGAGGCAGCAGGAGGGAAUGUUCGGCAAUGGGGGGAACCCUGACCGAGCAAGGCCGGGUGAGUGAAGAAGGUUGUCGGAUCGGAAAGCUCUGUUGUAAGUCAAGAACGGGUGUGAGAGUGGAAAGUUCACACUGUGACGGUAGCUGACCAGAAAGCGACGGCUAACUACGUG
rnacentral:rRNA from 1 species